CCAGACUCCUACGGGAGGCAGCAGUGGGGAAUAUUGCACAAUGGGGGGAACCCUGAUGCAGCGACGCCGCGUGGGUGAAGGAGCACCUCGGUGCGUAAAGCCCUAUCGGCAGGGAAGAAACAGACAGUACCUGACUAAGAAGCCCCGGCUAAAUACGUGCCAGCAGCCGCGGUAAUACGUAUGGGGCAAGCGUUAUCCGGAUUUACUGGGUGUAAAGGGAGCGUAGGCGGCAGGGCAAGCCUGAUGUGAAAGCCCGGGGCUCAACCCCGGGACUGCAUUGGGAACUGCCCCGCUCGAGUGCCGGAGGGGCAGGCGGAAUUCCUAGUGUAGCGGUGAAAUGCGUAGAUAUUAGGAGGAACACCAGUGGCGAAGGCGGCCUGCUGGACGGUGUACUGACGCUGAGGCUCGAAAGCGUGGGGAGCAAACAGGAUUAGAUACCCCCGUAUCU
rnacentral:rRNA from 1 species